rnacentral:rRNA from 1 species
GACGAACGCUGGCGGCGUGCUUAACACAUGCAAGUCGAACGGAAAGGCCCUGCUUUUGUGGGGUGCUCGAGUGGCGAACGGGUGAGUAACACGUGAGUAACCUGCCCUUGACUGUGGGAUAACUUCAGGAAACUGGGGCUAAUACCGGAUAGGAGCUCCUGCUGCAUGGUGGGGGUUGGAAAGUUUCGGCGGUUGGGGAUGGACUCGCGGCUUAUCAGCUUGUUGGUGGGGUAGUGGCUUACCAAGGCUUUGACGGGUAGCCGGCCUGAGGGGGGGACCGGCCACAUUGGGACUGAGAUACGGCCAAGACUCCUACGGGAGGCAGAAGUGGGGAAUAUUGCACAAUGGGCGGAAGCCUGAUGCAGCAACGCCGCGUGGGGGAUGACGGCCUUCGGGUUGUAACCCGCUUUCGCCUGUGACGAGGCGUGAGUGACGGUAAUGGGUAAAGAAGCACCGGCUAACUACGUG